rnacentral:rRNA from 1 species
UGAAGUCAGGGGAAACCCUGAUGGAAGACCGAAACAGUUCUGACGUGCAAAUCGAUUGUCAGAAUUGAGUAUAGGGGCGAAAGACCAAUCGAACCAUCUAGUAGCUGGUUCCUUCCGAAGUUUCCCUCAGGAUAGCUGGUGCAUUUUAAUGUUAUAUAAAAUAAUCUUAUCUGGUAAAGCGAAUGAUUAGAGGCCUUAGGUCGAAACGAUCUUAACCUAUUCUCAAACUUUAAAUGGGUAAGAACCUUAACUUUCUGAUAUGAAGUUUAAGGUUAUGAUAUAAUGUGCCCAGUGGCCACUUUUGGUAAGCAGAACUGGCGCUGUGGAUGAACCAAACGUAAUGUUACGGUGCCCAAAUUAACAACUCAUGCAGAAACCAUGAAAGGCGUUGGUUGCUUAAAACAGCAGGACGGUGAUCAUGGAAGUCGAAAUCCGCUAAGGAGUGUGUAACAACUCACCUGCCGAAGCAACUAGCCCUUAAAAUGGAUGGCGCUUAAGUUGUAUACCUAUACAUUACCGCUAAAGUAGAUGAUUUAUAUUACUUGUGAUAUAAAUUUUGAAACUUUAGUGAGUAGGAAGGUACAAUGGUAUGCGUAGAAGUGUUUGGCGUAAGCCUUCAUGGAGCUGCCAUUGGCACAGAUCUUGGUGGUAGUAGCAAAUAAUCGAAUGAGACCUUGGAGGACUGAAGUGGAGAAGGGUUUCGUGUGAACAGUGGUUGAUCACGAGUUAGUCGGUCCUAAGUUCAAGGCGAAAGCCGAAAAUUUUCAAGUAAAAAAUCAGUGAGUAAUAUUGUCAAAUCUUUUAUGAUUUUUAAAUACUUGAAUAAUUUUGAACGAAAGGGAAUACGGUUCCAAUUCCGUAACCUGUUGAGUAUCCGUUUGUUAUUAAAUAUGGGCCUCGUGCUCAUCCUGGCAACAGGAACGACCAUAAAGAAGCCGUCGAGAGAUAUCGGAAGAGUUUUCUUUUCUGUUUUAUAGCCGUACUACCAUGGAAGUCUUUCGCAGAGAGAUAUGGUAGAUGGGCUAGAAGAGCAUGACAUAUACUGUUGUGUCGAUAUUUUCUCCUCGGACCUUGAAAAUUUAUGGUGGGACACGCAAACUUCUCAACAGGCCGUACCAAUAUCCGCAGCUGGUCUCCAAGGUGAAGAGUCUCUAGUCGAUAGAAUAAUGUAGGUAAGGGAAGUCGGCAAAUUAGAUCCGUAACUUCGGGAUAAGGAUUGGCUCUGAAGAUUGAGAUAGUCGGGCUUGAUUGGGAAACAAUAACAUGGUUUAUGUGCUCGUUCUGGUAAAUAGAGUUCUAUCAUUUAUGGUAGUUACUUGUUCCCCGGAUAGUUUAGUUACGUAGCCAAUUGUGGAACUUUCUUGCUAAAAUUUUUAAGAAUACUAAUUGGGUUAAACCAGUUAGUUCUUAUUAAUUAUAACGAUUAUCAAUUAACAAUCAAUUCAGAACUGGCACGGACUUGGGAAUCCGACUGUCUAAUUAAAACAAAGCAUUGUGAUGGCCCUAGCGGGUGUUGACACAAUGUGAUUUCUGCCCAGUGCUCUGAAUGUCAAAGUGAAGAAAUUCAAGUAAGCGCGGGUCAACGGCGGGAGUAACUAUGACUCUCUUAAGGUAGCCAAAUGCCUCGUCAUCUAAUUAGUGACGCGCAUGAAUGGAUUAACGAGAUUCCUACUGUCCCUAUCUACUAUCUAGCGAAACCACAGCCAAGGGAACGGCUUGGAAUAAUUAGCGGGGAAAGAAGACCCUUUUGAGCUUGACUCUAAUCUGGCAGUGUAAGGAGACAUAAGAGGUGUAGCAUAAGUGGGAGAUAUUAGAUUUCGGUUUGGUAUCGACAAUGAAAUACCACUACUCUUAUUGUUUCCUUACUUACUUGAUUAAAUGGAACGUGUAUCAUUUCCUAGCCAUUAUACGGAUAUAUUUAUUAUAUCUUAUGGUAUUGGGUUUUGAUGCAAGCUUCUUGAUCAAAGUAUCACGAGUUUGUUAUAUAAUCGCAAACAAAUUCUUUAAUGAGAAAAUGCAUUUAUGUAUUUUCAAUUUGAAAAUUUGGUAUAACUCCAAUUACUCAGGUAUGAUCCAAUUCAAGGACAUUGCCAGGUAGGGAGUUUGACUGGGGGGUACAUCUCUCAAAUAAUAACGGAGGUGUCCCAAGGCCAGCUCAGUGCGGACAGAAACCACACAUAGAGCAAAAGGGCAAAUGCUGACUUGAUCUCGGUGUUCAGUACACACAGGGACAGCAAAAGCUCGGCCUAUCGAUCCUUUUGGUUUAAAGAGUUUUUAACAAGAGGUGUCAGAAAAGUUACCAUAGGAUAACUGGCUUGUGGCGGCCAAGCGUUCAUAGCGACGUCGCUUUUUGAUCCUUCGAUGUCGGCUCUUCCUAUCAUUGUGAAGCAAAUUCACCAAGCGUUGGAUUGUUCACCAUGCAAGGGAACGUGAGCUGGUUUAGACCGUCGUGAGACAGGUUAGUUUUACCCUACUAAUGACAAAACGUUGUUGCGACAGCAUUCCUGCGUAGUACGAGAGGAACCGCAGGUACGGACCAAUGGCACAAUACUUGUUCGAGCGAACAGUGGUAUGACGCUACGUCCGUUGGAUUAUGCCUGAACGCCUCUAAGGUCGUAUCCGUGCUGGACUGCAAUGAUAAAUAAGGGGCAAUUUGCAUUGU